rnacentral:rRNA from 1 species
AUAAUACCCGAUAGGUCUCGAUUGCUGGAAUGCAUCGAGAUUUAAAGCUCCGGCGCCUAAGGAUGGGUCUGCGGCCUAUCAGGUAGUAGUGGGUGUAGCGUACCUACUAGCCUACGACGGGUACGGGUUGUGAGAGCAAGAGCCCGGAGAUGGAUUCUGAGACACGAUUCCAGGCCCUACGGGGCGCAGCAGGCGCGAAAACUUUACAAUGCAGGAAACUGUGAUAAGGGAACUCCGAGUGCCCGUAUACGCGGGCUGUCCAGGUGUUUAAAAAUCAUCUGAAGAAAGGGCCGGGCAAGACCGGUGCCAGCCGCCGCGGUAAUACCGGCGGCUCGAGUGGUGGCCACUAUUAUUGGGCUUAAAGCGUCCGUAGCUGGACCGAUAAGUCUCUUGGGAAAUCCGCCGGCUCAACCGGCGGGCGUCUAAGGGAUACUGUUAGUCUAGGGACCGGGAGAGGUGAGAGGUACUCCGGGGGUAGGAGUGAAAUCCUGUAAUCCCCGGGGGACCACCGAUGGCGAAGGCAUCUCACCAGAACGGCUCCGACAGUGAGGGACGAAAGCUGGGGGAGCGAACCGGAUUAGAUACCCGGGUAGUCCCAGCCGUAAACUAUGCGCGUUAGGUGU